rnacentral:sRNA from 1 species
CGUGAUCGUGGUCUGCAG